ACGCAAAGUUUUUGCACCAGUUUAAUUGGAAAGUUUAGCUACAUGCAGUUUUUGGACCACUUAUAGCCAUAUCAGUUUCUAAACUGAUAUAGUUAAAUAGGUGCAAAUCCCUCGUGUGUAUGCAGUUAUACCAGCGUAAAGAGCCCUUACAACAAUGUAGCUCAUUUGAUACUGCUGGACGGUGUGACGAUUGUGGAGCCAGACCUGCAGAACUUACCUAGCACAAAGUGCCAACUGUAAGCCCCAAGGUACAAGGAAGUCAACUGACCCGUCCAAGGACACACAAAUGAGACAGUAACUCACCUGGAAGUAACACCCAAUAUCUCCUGUCACCUCACUCCUGUGCUCUAACUACUAAAACGUGCACCAACAAUGGCACCUUAAGAGGCAGGAAACACCACUGAAGUGAAUGAAGUACCAAAAAAAGGGGGGAGACGGGGCAGAACAAAUCUCUCUUCAUGUAAAUGGCUGGUACUGUGACACAAUCAUUAUAAAAGCU